UGAACGCUGGCGGCGUGCCUAAUACAUGCAAGUCGAGCGAACAGACGAGGAGCUUGCUCCUCUGACGUUAGCGGCGGACGGGUGAGUAACACGUGGAUAACCUACCUAUAAGACUGGGAUAACUUCGGGAAACCGGAGCUAAUACCGGAUAAUAUAUUGAACCGCAUGGUUCAAUAGUGAAAGACGGUUUUGCUGUCACUUAUAGAUGGAUCCGCGCCGCAUUAGCUAGUUGGUACGGUAACGGCUUACCAAGGCAACGAUGCGUAGCCGACCUGAGAGGGUGAUCGGCCACACUGGAACUGAGACACGGUCCAGACUCCUACGGGAGGCAGCAGUAGGGAAUCUUCCGCAAUGGGCGAAAGCCUGACGGAGCAACGCCGCGUGAGUGAUGAAGGUCUUCGGAUCGUAAAACUCUGUUAUUAGGGAAGAACAAAUGUGUAAGUAACUAUGCACGUCUUGACGGUACCUAAUCAGAAAGCCACGGCUAACUACGU
rnacentral:rRNA from 1 species